GACGAACGCUGGUGGCGUGCUUAACACAUGCAAGUCGAACGAUGAAGCUGGAGCUUGCUCCGGUGGAUUAGUGGCGAACGGGUGAGUAACACGUGAGCAAUCUGCCCUUGACGCUGGGAUAACUGCGGGAAACUGUAGCUAAUACCGGAUACUUUCACUGCAAGGCAUCUUCGGGUGAAGAAAGAAUUUCGGUCAAGGAUGAGCUCGCGGCCUAUCAGCUUGUUGGUGAGGUAAUGGCUCACCAAGGCGACGACGGGUAGCCGGCCUGAGAGGGUGACCGGCCACACUGGGACGGAAACACGGCCCAGACUCCUACGGGAGGCAGCAGUGGGGAAUAUUGCACAAUGGGCGCAAGCCUGAUGCAGCAACGCCGCGUGAGGGAUGAAGGCCUUCGGGUUGUAAACCUCUUUUAGCAGGGAAGAAGCGAAAGUGACGGUACCUGCAGAAAAAGCACCGGCUAACUACGUGCCAGCCGCCGCUGUAA
rnacentral:rRNA from 1 species